GAAGGCGCGGGAGUGUUGGCGCGGUGUAGUGCUGGGGGAGCGCGGCCGGGAAGGAGGUCGAGUGCUUGCGGGGGAUCUGGUGGUGAGGGUCUGGUGCCGUGUUGAGGGAACUGUAAGGAUUGCUCACUGCUAUGCGUGUGCCUUGACUCUCCUGCCAGCACUGUGUCCUUGUCGUCUUCCUUUCACCUGCACCUGCUAUCUUAUCCCAGGCACUCUGGUGAAAACAUGGCAGGUGUUACCCCGCAGAAAAGGAGACGUAGUUCUACUGAUACCGAUGGUUCAUCCUUAGCCUUUGAGACUCCUGUGAAAAAAAUGAUGAUAGGCUUUGCAGGAGGUCUGUCUCCACGCAAAAAAUCAAGAAAUAAAUUGUUUGCUUCUCAAAUAAAAUGGUCACCUAGCUCCAGUGAUGAGAUGAAGGAAAAAGACGCUGUGUUAGUGAAGCCGGUGCUGUCAAGGAGGCUGGAUAUUUCACCCCUUCAGGCAGCCAGCGAUCCCACAGCCACGCAGAGGGAGCCCUUGAGGAAAUUAUCCCCAAAAAACACUUCCUUGUGCAAGCCCUUUGUGCCUGCAGCGUCUUUUUACAGCAAGGACAAGCGAUACCUUACUCCUCUUGAGAGAAAACAACUGAAUGAGAACCACUUUUUGGGUGAGAGGAACAGGGAUGAAAAUCUCCCAGCUGUCAGCAGGACUGAAAAGACAAACAAGAACUCAAGCAGGAAUAAAAGUGCAAAGCCAACCAAGCACACAACAAACUCCAAGCAUGGCAGAACUGUCCCCAAAGUACUUAAGAAGGCAAAGAGAGAGGUACCAGUGGGAAAACCCAGUGUGGAGAAAAAGAAUGUCAGUUGCCUAAUUAAAAAGAAGAUGGAUUCACCCUUCAGAGUCCUAAGCAUGACAGUUAAACCAGCCCUGAAACUCCAGUUGGGAGCAGCGUUCUUCUCUGCCAGGAAGAAAUCACACUCUAAAAAACCACUUGUAGACACCAAGCCUCUUCAUGGUCUCCCCAAAUCUCUGCAAGAAAAUGAUCAGCCCAGGCCACCGACAACUGCAAAAUCUAUUUCAGUUGAUGGAAACAAAAUUCUUGAGGCGGGCAGUAUAUUGAGAACUAUUUCUGUGCCUCAGAAGAAGGAAAAUAAAAACAGGGAGGACUUUACAAGCUGUGUAGAUCGAGAGAGAGAUUCGGCAUGCAAAGGAACAGCAUCUCCGCAGAAAAGCGGAAGCACCUCUGGUCCGUUUUGUGCUUCUGAAUCUGCAGCUGCAGGAGACAGCAACGCAGAGAACAUGGAUGUUGGUGAUACCAGUUCUUCUGCAAGCUGGGAGUCAGAUGAUUGCAUUAUUUUUUCAAGCCAAUCUCCACAUAAGGUGAAUAAACAAGCAUCUCCUUCAAAUGCUGUUGUCUACCCCAUAUUCAGUGCACCCCCUGCCAGCAAGAAAAGGAUGCAGGCUAUACAGGAUGAACAAACUUCUUUAUUUGGGUCCAGCCCACCUGCAAAACCAUCUCUCACCUCGCAGAAGAGCAAGAAGGCGAAAGAGCUCUGCAAGCACUCCAGAGAUCAGAUGAUCAUUGACGCAGGUCAGAAGCAUUUUGGUGCCGUGAUUUGCAAGUCAUGCGGCAUGAUCUACACUGCUGCUAGCCUGGAGGAUGAAGCCCAGCACAUCCAGCACCAUGAGAGAUUCCUCGAGGGACUCAGAUACAUGGGUUGGAAGAAUGAAAGGGUUGUGGCAGAGUUCUGGGAUGGGAAAAUUGUAUUGAUUCUUCCAAAUGACCCAAAAUAUGCCGUCAAGAAGGCAGAAGAUGUGCGAGAAAUUGUAGAUAAUGAAUUGGGAUUUAAGCAAGUUUCUUUGGGGUGCCCGGCCAAGACUAAAACGUACUUGUUUGUGUCCAAUGAGAAGAUGAUUGUUGGGUGCUUAGUGGCUGAAUCAAUCAAGCAGGCUUUCCGGGUGCUGUCAGAGCCAGGAGCCGUGCCGUCCCCCGUCCAGGAUGCCCUGCAGCACCACCGGGCUUGGCGCUGCUCCACGGAGCCGGAGCCCUGCAUCUGUGGCAUCAGCAGGAUCUGGGUGUUCAGCCUGAAGCGCAGGAAGGGCAUCGCCAGGCACAUGGUGGACGUGGUCAGGAGCACGUUCAUGUAUGGCUGCUACCUGAGCACGGAUGAAAUCGCCUUCUCCGACCCAACACCGGAUGGCAAGCUGUUUGCAACAAGAUACUGCCAAACUCCCAACUUCCUCGUUUACAAUUUUAUUUUUAACAACUGAUUUGACUUGGUUAUUACAAGUUGGGGUUUGUUGAAAUAAUCUAAAGAUAAGUUAGAUAUUUAAAAUAACACAGAAGUGUUGUUACGUGGCUAAAUGCUGUUUUCCUGCUGAGAGCUAGCUCUCCCUUCCCCUGGGAGGGAGCCGGGGGAGAGCGUGUCACUUUGUGUACAGAGUUGUGUUGUAUUUUAGCAUAUGCCAUGGAGCCUUGCUUGCAUUUCAGAAGAUGCGGGAAUGCUUCCAGCGGUCUCCUGAUUUGAGGAGCUGGGAGAAGACAGCAGUGGCUGCAACAGAAGCAGAGGGCUGCGUGGGGGAGCAGGCAGAAUAACUGAGUCACCCCUGCAGAGCUGGCUGGGAAAAAGCUCUGCAGCCAGGAGACACUGAGAGCAGGAGAGUGAGGAAAAAUGCCCUGGCUGCCUGGAGACCAAGUCAGAAAACACAAACCAGCCUGCGGGUCUGUGCCAGCAGGAAGGCUGGAGCAACAGGAGGUUUCCCAGCACAGCUGGAGGAGCCGAGGCUUGGGGAGGGAAGUAGCUUGGCCAGUAGGCCACAGAAGAGCCAAGAACAGACCCCAAAUGCCUGAAUUCCAGCCCAGAGAAAAGCUGCUGGGGUUAUCCCGAAACAACGGGCUCCUUCCCAGGACAAAUACCUCCAGCACACACAGGACAGCUGGGAUCAGUGCUGGGACCGGCACUGCCAACAGCUUUGUCAGCGACACAGAGAGUGGGAUCAAAAGCACCCUCAGCCAGUUUGCUAACGACAUCGAGCCAUGUGCUGCCGCCAACACGCUGCGGGGGAGGGAUGCCAUCCAGAGGGACCUUGGCAGGUUUGAGAGGUGAGCCUGUGCAAACCACAUGAAGUUCAACAAGGCCAAGCGCAAGGUCCUGCAUCUGGGUUGGGGCAACCCCCAGUAUCAAUACAGGCUGGGUGGAGAAAGGAUUGACAGCAGCCCUGAGGACUUUGGAGUGUUGGUGGAUGAGAAGCUCAUGACCCAGCAAUGUGCGCUCGCAGCCCAGAAAGUCAACUGUACCCUGGGCUGCAGCACCCGCAGCGCAGCUGGUGGGUCAGUGAGGGGGCUCUGCCCCUCUGCUCCGCUCUGGUGAGACCCCCCUGCAGCGCUGCAUCCGGCUCUGGGGUCCCCA